AGCCUCCUCCCAUUCCCCAUCGCCUCACAUUGCCGCCACCCUCCUCCAAUAGCUAGCCGCCAACCCUCCACCUCUCCUGCUCUCACCUCGCAGCACCAUGGAGCUUCUAGAUCCGCCAGAUCCCCCACCAAUCCAUCCCUCUUAAACCCAUGGCUAAGGUUUCGGCCUCCCUCAGAUUCGUCCCUCCCGCAUGUUCAUCUUUUCCAGGAUCCGUGGCAACCUUGCCUCAUCUACUCCCCUCCCUCUUAGAUCGACCAGGCUAUGCUCCUCCCGUGGGAUCCAUGGCGCGGGUUACCACACAGCAGCUGAUCUGUGACGAGCAAGGCAGGGAAGAGGUGUUCCUUCUCAUGGUCUGCCGUGCAGCUUGCCUUCCACGACGUCCUUGGAGAUGUAUGCAACUUCUUCAGCACCUACAAAAAUUCACGGGGCCAUGAAGAUCAGAAGCUGCAGCCGUACCACCACGGCGGUGGUAAGAGAAGGGCGACCCCUCCCCUUCCUUUCUAGCUAGCUUUUUUGAUUUGGAUUUGUCCAAUCCGAUCCAAUACCGACACGUGGCUUGGUUGUAACAUAGGAGAGGGAUACCUACAGUUGAGUUUCAGUUUGGACAUCAUUCGACACACAUUAUUGGUGGAUUUGGUAUACUUCAAUCUGUAUGUGCAUUCCUAAAAUUGAAAAUGAAAUUGGUUGGGUGUACAAUUCCUAUGAACCAAUCUGCAAUAUUUUUUAUUCAACUUGUACUGCACCAACAACUUAAAUUUGUCUGCUAUAUUUACCAAAUCUGUAGAUGCUUGAUAGAUAUCAAUGGCACCCUGCUGUUACUUUGCUUGCUCCGGGUCUUGGGGGGUUGGGGAGUGUUUGGGCCUCACUUUGCCCAGCUGCAAGAAGCUGGAUGGGGAGCACUGCUAUUUAGUAGUACAUUAUUGCCACCUGUCUUUUUCACUAGAUCAAACUUGAUCCAUGCUCCUAUAGGUUUUAGGUGAUCAUGUACGUCAAUUUAUAUUAUAGCUGGGUGCUUAGUUUCUUACUGUCCCUGAUCCAUGCUCCUAUAGAGUUGUUUCUGGCGUGCAUGAGGGGGAGGGCAAAAUGGCUUGGUUUGUUGAUGCUUUUAUUGCUUUACUAGGUACUAAUACAAUUCUUCCACAAGUGAAAGAAAUUUCUGAAUACAAUUCUUCAACAAGUGUUUUGACAUUCAGUUAAUUUGACAGGUGGCUAUGGAACCUUGGAGGAGUUGCUUAAGUUAUCACGUGGGCACAACUAGGAAUAAACAAGAAGCUGAAAUGCGUGUACACAGAAUUGCAAUCUAAAGGAGCGACGGAAGUGAAGAUUGAGCGCUUUUCUUUAACAUUAAUAAUAGAUGGUUUGGCAGUUGGUCCGUGUCACUGGAGAUUGAAGUUUUUUACCAGGAAUUACUUGGGCCUGAAUAGCUACCUGGAAGUGGUGGUGUAGUGUUGGAGAUUUAAAUCAGCUAGUAGUGCAUUUUAGUCAUGUUUACUUGAUUUUUUUAAAUGCUUAUAGUGCGUUCUAGUUAUUCUUGUGAUGUUUUGAUAUUAAGCUUUGUUUUUUGAAAUCAGACUAGAUUGUUGGAAAUCUUUAAUUGUGUUGUGAACAAGUGCUAUUAUUUGAAUGAAUAUAAUUUUGUUGCCUUCGUAAA